GUAGAAUUGAACUAAUACAAGAUGUUUGGUUGAAUUUGAAAUUAUAUUAUGUUUCAGUGAAGGUUUUAAAAGCACAAAGCGUAAUGCGUAUCAUUGAAACAUGUGAAGGCAAUCAGGAACUGAUUGAUUCUGCAUUUCUUUCUUUAGGUAGCUGUAUGGUAUUCUUUAAAUUGAGUAGCAGUGAUGUCGGAAUUCAUGUGCUGGAGGAAGAGUAAUUCAUGAGAGAAUCAACUAGAAAAAGAUGUGGUGGUAGUUUGGAAAAUGUAGAGAUACAUUUACAGGAGUGGGCCAAUCAAGCUGAUUUAGUGUGCUGCUUGCAACAUUUGCAGGUGGUGGUUCAAUGGGCCAAGAAAAUUUCUGAAGUGGUUAGAUGCACACUGGGGCAUUAAUUUGAAUCUCACAAUGGGAAUCUCCAUGCUUGAUUAAUGUAAACUACCUUGGGUAGGGCUGAGUCAGUCGGGCUUGAAGGAGUGCUCAUGAUUCCUGCUGCCUAAGCCUCUCUUGUGUCACUCUUCGUAGUAGGUGUUACUAUAGUCACGCCUAGGGAAAAUCAAGUAGCUGAAGAAUGUUGAAGCAUACCACAACAAAAGUAGCUGCAUGAAGCCAAACAUUGUUCCUGCAUUGCAUGAUCUCCCUGAAAAUCUGUCGAGCUCAGUGGUGCUGCAGUGAUUUAGCCUCCUUGCUGGACUCACUCAUCUGGUCUGCUAUUCAAGCUUCUUUCACCAAUUCAUUUUUGGACUUGGAAGCUUUUGAAUCUCAGGUUUUUCUCAAUCUCUCAUUCCAGUCUUUUGGGUUUAAUUGUUAUUCUCUAUGGGUUGAAUCUGGUUUUGAUUUUUCUCCUUUGUGGGUUGAAUUGUUGAUCUGGGUUUGUCAUGCUUUUGGGGGUUUUGGUUUCAAUCUCAGGUUUUGGUUGAUAUGGGAGAGUGAGCUAGUUUUCGUGGGCUUCUUUGGGUGU